rnacentral:rRNA from 1 species
GACGAACGCUGGCGGCGUGCCUAAUACAUGCAAGUCGAACGCAGUGGGUACGGGUGAGUAACACGUGGGUCACCUCCCAUCAGAGGGGAUAACACUUGGAAACAGGUGCUAAACCGAUACUGCUUGAUGACCCCUCGGUGCAUUAGCUCGUUGGUGAGGUAACGGCUCACCAAGGCCACGAUGCAUAGCCGACCUGAGAGGGUGAUCGGACACACUGGGACUGAGACACGGCCCAGACUCCUACGGGAGGCAGCAGUAGGGAAUCUUCGGCAAUGGACGAAAGUCUGACCGAGCAACGCCGCGUGAGUGAAGAAGGUUUUCGGAUCGUAAAACUCUGUUAGUAGAGAAGCGGUAUCUAAACAGAAAGCCACGGCUAACUACGUGCCAGCAGCCGCGGUAAUUC